rnacentral:rRNA from 1 species
GAGGGGGUCGCGGCUGAUUAGCUAGUUGGUAGGGUAAUGGCCUACCAAGGCGAAGAUCGGUAUCCGGCCUGAGAGGGCGCACGGACACACUGGAACUGAAACACGGUCCAGACUCCUACGGGAGGCAGCAGUGGGGAAUUUUGCGCAAUGGGGGAAACCCUGACGCAGCAACGCCGCGUGGAGGAUGAAGUCCCUUGGGACGUAAACUCCUUUCGACCAAGACGAUAAUGACGGUACUGGUGGAAGAAGCACCGGCUAACUCUGUGCCAGCAGCCGCGGUAAUACAGAGGGUGCGAGCGUUGUUCGGAAUUAUUGGGCGUAAAGGGCGCGUAGGCGGCGCGACAAGUCGCCUGUGAAAUCUCUGGGCUCAACUCAGAGCCUGCAGGCGAAACUGUCGUGCUGGAGUAUGGGAGAGGUGCGUGGAAUUCCCGGUGUAGCGGUGAAAUGCGUAGAUAUCGGGAGG